rnacentral:rRNA from 1 species
CUUUCUACGGGAGGCAGCAGUGGGGAAUAUUGCACAAUGGGGGAAACCCUGAUGCAGCAACGCCGCGUGAGUGAAGAAGGUUUUCGGAUUGUAAAGCUCUGUUAGCAGGGAAGAGGAAGGACGGUACCUGCAGAGGAAGCCACGGCUAACUACGUGCCAGCAGCCGCGGUAAUACGUAGGUGGCAAGCGUUGUUCGGAAUAACUGGGCGGAAAGGAUGCGUUGGCGGUUGAACAAGUUAUAUGUUAAAUAUAUAGGGUUCACCUGGAGAA